CGAGGCAGUGUCAUUGAUUGAAAACGUGGACGGUUAUGGCGGGUUUUUAGAAUUCGAUAAAAAAUGAAUGUUGAACGGAAAAAAAAGGAAUCCUUUCUUGUUUCAAAAUCAGAUACAAACACGCAGAGUUGUGUUUUCUUUCGCGUUUUCGGGUAUUUUUGCUAAGAAUUCCCUCGUUUUUGCGAAAGGUACUGUAGCGUUUUGCCGUACCGCUAUUUUAUAAUUGGUGGAUGCGUUAACAUUUGCAUAUCGCGUAUAUAUAUUUUUUGUGGGAUGAUAGUUGAUGCUCCUGUUUUAGCGUUUAUUAAGACAUUAUGCGCUUCCAGUACUAUUCAAUUAAGGAUUAUAUCCUAUCGUAAGCAUAGCAACUUUAGUGCAGGAUCUGCAAAAUAAUAUUAGUCGAGUUUUUGGAUUUUUUGUUUUGGAACUUACCUUUCCGAAUGGUCCAGUAGAGGCGGGUCUAAGAAAGAAUAGUCCUACGCUCGGAAACCGAAGAUGUAAGAGGUAUCCAAGUAUACCUCAUGGUAUAAAAUAUGCCGUAGCUGACAUGUGCAAUAGAUAGUGUGAUCGAGAAAAUAGGGGAUUCGGAAGGUUGUUGCUUUUCUUGAGAUGGAGAUGCCGGAUGAUCAAAAGCUGGAUUUGAGACGGUCGGUCGGUGCCAUUUCGUCCUGGUCUGAGUACCUUUGAGACGUUGACGCCCCGCAAUUGGUUUGGGAGGACCCAUCUGAAUAUUUGAAUCCUUGAACCAGUCAUGAAAUUGGUUCUCGAGGGGGUCGAUUGAUGCCACGCAAGGGUUACUUUCUGUUAGCCUCUUGCUAGCCAGGAUGUAUUAAUUAAUGACGAGUCUUUGACUUCCUUUCCGCUGGUACUUAGACUACAUUGGACUACAUUGAAAGCAGUCUAAAAUGUUGGCGAACGCGUGGAUUUCUUUCCUGCAAUAUCUAUGGCAAUGCAGACGCCGCCUUUCGCAGUACCUAAAUAGCGGGGCAGCCCUUCAGAGUAUCUUCGGUGGACGCCCUCCAUCUCCCUGCGGAGUCCCAACGUGUUUGGUCAUGGCCCGCAGAUAAGAUUGAGUUCACCCCAUCAUUUUAUAUUUGCUAUUUUAUUACUUACUUUAAACCAACUUGAAGGUAGUUGUCAAAUUUAGUUUGUUUUUUUAUUUUAUUUUAUUAAGUACGUCUAUUUCCAUGUAUAAUUAUUAAAUCGACAUCUUAAUUAGGGGGUACCCAGAUAAUCGGUCACAUAUUAUAUGAAGUUAAGUAAAAUUUAUGGUGCAUCCUCUAAUCCAUUUUGGGGUGUUGGGGUGUUUGAUCGUUUAAUUUGUCACUCCUGUUGCUGAUUAUCUAUUAAGAUGAGUUUCUUGAUUCGAUCAGUAUUCUUUGCCAUCUUUUUUCUAAAUAAAAAGUGUUACAAUUUUUAAUAAGGUGAGAACCGAAAGUAAUAAGUUUCUGUCGCAUCGAAGACAUACCCAUAGUGCUACCGCUUGCCUCUCUGGGUAAGUUCUGAAGAAAAAACAAAGGUGCGCAAAACGCCAAAAUGCAAAUAUGCAGGGUGUUUCACCGUUGAUGAUACCUUAGACGUCUACGGCGAAGGAUACAUUUCUAAACAUUUGGUUAGUUCCAUUAACGGCGAUGCUCUAUCGAUGUAAAAUAUUUUUCAAACUGCGACGUUGCCGCUUCUUCGAAAAAGUAGGAUUAACAUUGAAAUUUUUAAUUGGACACCACGUAUAUUAGGGCAUUUUCUGAUCCGCCAAUACUUUGUUUUUUUUUUUAAUGAAAAAUACGUUACUAUCCUUACUGGUUUUCGAGAAAUUUAUUAUUUUCUUCAAUUUUCCGAUCCAAACAUACCUUCAUUUAAAUUUUUAUUAUUACGACACUGGAGCCAGUAGAAAGUUAAAAUUAUAGACAUUGCAUUAUUUUUUAAUAUCAAAAUAAAUUCUGUAUCUUAAAUAACUCCACUCUUAUUUUUUGUACCCUUAUAUGUAGCACGAGCUGGCCAUUUAAUGGAGUUUCGUUUUCCAACGGUAGCAAUAAUCUCAACUUGUUUCU